GAAGAAAUAGGGCAGGAUUAGAGAUAGGCAGAAGUGAGGCCAUGAGUGAGGCAGGGAUGAGGAGGAAGCAAGUUUGACAGAAAGAAGUAAGAGAAAACAGGAAUAGAAGAAAGGCAAACAGAGGAAGGCAGAUUUGACAGAAAGAAAAUAAAACAGGAAUAGAAAAAAAGUCAAACAGAGGAAGGAAUGAGGAGGUACGUUUGAUAGAAAGAAGAUAGUGGAAUGAGGAGGCAGGCUUGACAGGAGGAAGACAGAAAAAACAGGAAUAUAAGAAAGACAAACAAGAGGAAGGAAUAAGAAGGCAGGUUUGACAGGAGGGAGACAGAAAAAAACAGGAAUAUAAGAAAGACAAACAAGAGGAAGGAAUGAGAAGGCAGGUUUGACAGAAAGAAGACAGAGAAAACAGGAAUAGGAGAAAG